rnacentral:rRNA from 1 species
AUGCAGCUUGUCUCCUGCGGCCGGAUCGCUGUGAACAUUAACGGUGAUAUUGGGCCUUACUUCCCCACCCUUUGUGGGGUCCGGCAGGGUGACCCGUUCUCGCCGUUCCUGUUCAACAUGGUGGUGGAUGCCCUUGCCUCCAUCCUUGACAUGGCCAAAGCCGCCGGCCAUAUCUGUGGCAUCGUCCCUCAUCUAGUCGGAGGGGGAGGGGUCUCCCUCCUGCAAUAUGCGGAUGAUACCAUAAUAAUGAUGGAGGGCACUGUUAAGGACAUUGCCAACCUGAAGUUCCUCCUCCUGUGCUUCCAACAGAUGUUGGGGUUAACUAUCAACUUCGAUAAGAGCGAAGUGAUGGUUCUUGGGUAUUCCCCGGACGAAGCACAGGCUAUUGCGAACCGACUGGAUUGUCAGCUGGGUUCUUUCCCCACGACCUACCUGGGGAUUCCCAUUAGUGAUUCGUGCCUCACCGUGGCGGACCUUCGCCCCACGGUGACCCGGAUGCAACAUCGUGUUGAGCCCUGGAAAGGGCGCUGGUUGUCGAAGGCCGCUCGAGUGAUCCUAAUCACCUCCUCGCUUGCCAGCCUUCUUUGGUUCCUCGUGAGCUUCUAUAGCUUGCAUAAGACGCUACAUCAGGAAAUCGCCAAGUACCAAUCCAGAUUCUUCUCGGCUGGUGAGUGUGAUAAGCAGAAGUACCAUAUGGUGAGCUGGCCCGAUAUCUGCAAACCCAAGGACCAGGGCGGUCUUGGGAUUUUGUUCUCCCAGCGCAUGAACAUUGCCCUGCUGACACUUAUUUUGGGACGGAGGGAGUAUAUCCAAAGUAUGAAGUAG